UGGGAUGUAGCCAAGUGGAAAGGCAAUGGACUUUGACUCCGUCAUGCGUAGGUUCGAACCCUACCAUCUCAG
rnacentral:tRNA from 2 species